UACGUAGGGUGCGAGCGUUGUCCGGAAUUAUUGGGCGUAAGGGCUCGUAGGCGGUUUGUCGCGUCGGGAGUGAAAACCUUGGGCUUAACUCAGGGCUUGCUUUCGAUACGGGCAGACUAGAGGUAUGCAGGGGAGAACGGAAUUCCUGGUGUAGCGGUGAAAUGCGCAGAUAUCAGGAGGAACACCGGUGGCGAAGGCGGUUCUCUGGGCAUGAUCUGACGCUGAGGAGCGAAAGUGUGGGGAGCGAACAGG
rnacentral:rRNA from 1 species